UACUCAGAAAAAAUGUUAUUACAAUUAAACUCAUAGUUAUUUAUAGUUUAUUUAUUUCAGCAUCAAAGUACCGAUGUUUUAAGUUUGAUAUUUUAUGUUGAAUUUGGAAUUAUGCAUUAUGUACAGAACCGAAAUGGCGAAAUUUUGUCAUAAAUAUCGAUAAUUUUGAAGAAUUCAAUGCUCGAAAAUGAUAUCCUUUCGACGCUCUUGUACUACACACACAUUCACGCUUAUAAAUACAUUCACGAAACUGUUGUAAUCCCAUUUUUUUCUGAUUUAGAGAAAGGAGAUCAGUAACUAUGGAUACGCCCCCACAGUCAACAGAAAAUAUAAUUAUCACCAAACCUUUCAUAUAAAUUAAAUAAUAAGAUUAACUGCAAUAAAAAAUCAAUAUAUACAGAAAUUCCCCUGUUUCUUCAAAAAAUCAAAAAAGGGACCUGAAGAUUCGCUGUUGUACUUCAUUCCUACACGCUCUCUAUAUGGGACCAAGUAUCUACAUGGCGGACUAUGGACCACAGUAAACGUCCGUGUGUCAAACGCUUAUGAUGCUAAGUUCGGAUGAGUAUGAUCAGCAACUUCAAUGAGUUUUUCACGAUAAUACUCGACCCCAUGUAGCACGAGUUGUCACCCAUUACUUCCAGGAUGUGGGGAUUACCGUAAUGAAUUGGCCAGCACAUUUUCCUGACAUGAACCUUUUAGAACACUUAUGGGACAUGAUUGAGAGAGAGGUUAGACAUCGUUCGCUGGAAUAUCAUGUAUUCUGGGGGGGGGUGAAUACGACCUAUGUUUGUAUCGGGUAAUGAUAAAUAUAUGUAUGUUUAUCUAGUGUCCAUUCUUCACUUGACAACCUGAUACAAAUGAGGCUAUCAUUUUAGGUUAUCGACUUGGGAAGAGAUUGUUUAAUCUCCAGGAAUAAAUAUCCAGAACUGUGGGAGAGUGAAUAUAACCAGACUUGUAUGAGCUUUUCAAAAAGAUAGUUCCUAUUCACAGUUAGUUGUUUUCAACGAACCGGAUUUCAAGCUUAUAGCUCAUCAUCACCUGAUGAUGAGCUGUAGAUGUCUAUCCUGUCUCUCUACCAGGCCCCAUAAGUGUUCUAAGAGGUUCACGUCAGUCUCUCGACACGAAUUACAAGACUUCUAUGAAUGUGGUGAUAUUUUUAUUUAUACUAUCGCGCCCUUUUUCCGGGUUGUCAAACAAGACAAACGACAACGUGAUACAAAAAAAAGUUUCCAGGCCUUAUCCAGUCGUAUUAUCUUUACAAGAAAAAGAUCGUUUACAGAAAAGGAAAGGCUUCUUAUCGAACCGUGGACAAAAAUUACAUAAGCGGUAAUCGGCUAGAGAGGAAAAGAUUUUCUACGAUUCUACCGCUCUCUCCGAUUCUCUUCCAUCUAAGAGAAAAUCAUUAAAAACUCAUAAAAUCAUGGAAACAUAAAUUAGUUGAUAUUAUGUCCGUAUUGUAUUACAUGUAUUUGUAUUCUCUAAAUAAA